rnacentral:rRNA from 1 species
AGCGAACGCUGGCGGCAGGCUUAACACAUGCAAGUCGAGCGGGCAUCUUCGGAUGUCAGCGGCAGACGGGUGAGUAACACGUGGGAACGUACCCUUCGGUUCGGGACAACUCUGGGAAACUGGAGCUAAUACCGGAUACGCCCUUAUGGGGAAAGGUUUACUGCCGAAGGAUCGGCCCGCGUCUGAUUAGCUAGUUGGUGGGGUAACGGCCUACCAAGGCGACGAUCAGUAGCUGGUCUGAGAGGAUGAUCCGCCACACUGGGACUGGGACACGGACCAGACUCCUACGGGCGGCAGCAGUGGGGAAUAUGGGACAAUGGGAGCAAGCAUGAACCAGCCAUGCCGGGUGAAUGAUGAAGGCCUGAGGGUUGUAAAGCUCUUUUGUCCGGGAAGAUAAUGACGGUACCGGAAGAAUAAGCCCCGGCUAACUUCGUG